rnacentral:rRNA from 1 species
UACGGGGGGGGCAAGCGUUGUUCGGAAUUACUGGGCGUAAAGGGCUCGUAGGCGGCCAACUAAGUCAGACGUGAAAUCCCUCGGCUUAACCGGGGAAUGGCGUCUGAUACUGGAUGGCUUGAAUCCGGGAGAGGGAUGCGGAAUUCCAGGUGUAGCGGUGAAAUGCGUAGAUAUCUGGAGGAACACCGGUGGCGAAGGCGGCAUCCUGGACCGGCAUUGACGCUGAGGAGCGAAAGCUAGGGGAGCAAACGGG